rnacentral:rRNA from 1 species
AGCCAGACUCCUACGGGAGGCAGCAGUGGGGGAUAUUGCACAAUGGGGGAAACCCUGAUGCAGCGACGCCGCGUGAGUGAAGAAGUAUUUCGGUAUGUAAAGCUCUAUCAGCAGGGACGAAAAUGACGGUACCUGAGUAAGAAGCCCCGGCUAACUACGUGCCAGCAGCCGCGGUAAUACGUAGGGGGCAAGCGUUAUCCGGAAUUACUGGGUGUAAAGGGAGCGUAGACGGUGAAGUAAGUCUGGAGUGAAAGGCGGGGGCCCAACCCCCGGACUGCUCUGGAAUCUAUUUGACUGGAGUGCAGGAGAGGUAAGCGGAAUUCCUAGUGUAGCGGUGAAAUGCGUAGAUAUUAGGAGGAACACCAGUGGCGAAGGCGGCUUACUGGACUGUAACUGACGUUGAGGCUCGAAAGCGUGGGGAGCAAACAGGAUUAGAUACCCUUGUAGG